rnacentral:rRNA from 1 species
GUCUACGGCCAUACCACGUUGAAAGCACCAGUUCUCGUCCGAUCACUGAAGUUAAGCAACGUCGGGCUCGGUUAGUACUUGGAUGGGUGACCGCCUGGGAACACCNGAGUGCUGUAGACU